rnacentral:rRNA from 1 species
UACGUAGGGGGCAAGCGUUGUCCGGAAUCAUUGGGCGUAAAGAGCGUGUAGGCGGCCCGAUAAGUCCGCCGUGAAAGUCCAGGGCUCAACCCUGGAAUGCCGGUGGAAACUGUCGGGCUGGAGUCCGGAAGAGGCGAGUGGAAUUCCUGGUGUAGCGGUGAAAUGCGCAGAUAUCAGGAGGAACACCAAUGGCGAAGGCAGCUCGCUGGGACGGUACUGACGCUGAGACGCGAAAGCGUGGCGAGCAAACAGG